rnacentral:tRNA from 1 species
GGUAAGGUGGCUGAGUAUCAAGUGGUGGGUUGUAGCCCCAAGCAUGAAGGUUUAAAUCCUUUUCUUACCA